CUCCGUCUGGGCGAUCUCUAUUGGCCGCCUCUUCGACCUACUGCCGUAGUGCACCCAUCUCCGUCACCCUGAUCGUCGCUCCUACCGGCGUCAAUGAUGCAGCAGUGCUAUGUACAUUUAUACAUGGAGUAGAUAUGCAUUCAGGAGGUCAAGAAGCCGACACCUCAGCAGUAUUCAUUCCAAACAGCAAGGGAGAUAAAGAAAAGACGCUCAAGUCAACCUCUAGAGACGGGAUGAUAAUGAAGAGAUCCUUGGUACGCACACUUUGGACGCUCUUAAAUUCAUGUAUGGCAGAUUUAUCCCAACUGUUUCUUUUGCAUGACACAUUUAAUGCCAAUUCAGUUUGAUCAAAUCAUCGAAAGCACAGCAGGAAAGUCAAUUUUAAUUCCGGUGAUCUUUUUACUAAAGGUAUACUAGGCUGAAUUUGGUGCAGCAGUUCAUUAUUCAUAGCCGCUGUUAUUUAUUUUGUAUUUUCAGGUGAGGUAAAUUAAUCAAUUGAUGGACAAAUAUGAUGUUUGUCUACACAGAUGGUGCCACUUGAAAUUAUUAUAUGUUAGUAUGAAAUGAUAUUCUUUUUAUGUAAAAUCACACGCUAGAUUAUGCAUCAAUUCAAGCAUAACUGAAAUUCUUUGUUAGUACAGAAAAUUAUUUUGGC